UACGUAGGGUGCGAGCGUUGUCCGGAAUUAUUGGGCGUAAAGAGCUCGUAGGCGGUGUGUCACGUCGGCCGUGAAAACCUGCAGCUUAACUGUGGGCGUGCGGUCGAUACGGGGCAUCACUGGAGUUCGGCAGGGGAGACUGGAAUUCCUGGUGUAGCGGUGAAAUGCGCAGAUAUCAGGAGGAACACCGGUGGCGAAGGCGGGUCUCUGGGCCGAUACUGACGCUGAGGCGCGAAAGCCAGGGGAGCGAACGGG
rnacentral:rRNA from 1 species